AAAAAUUUGUUUGCGACUGAUAUUCCUGCAACAUGUUCAUAUUCUUUUCUUUUUUCUUUUUCUCCUGUCUCCAUUUCUUAAAGUCUUGACUCUCCAGGGCAACAAGCAGCA
rnacentral:ribozyme from 13 species